UACGUAGGUGACAAGCGUUGUCCGGAUUUACUGGGCGUAAAGAGCGCGCAGGCGGUCGUUCAAGUCGAGUGUGAAAGCCCCCGGCUCAACUGGGGAGGGUCACUCGAUACUGAUCGACUCGAAGGCAGGAGAGGGAAGUGGAAUUCCCGGUGUAGUGGUGAAAUGCGUAGAUAUCGGGAGGAACACCAGUGGCGAAGGCGACUUCCUGGCCUGUUCUUGACGCUGAGGCGCGAAAGCUAGGGUAGCAAACGGG
rnacentral:rRNA from 1 species